AGGACGAACGCUGGCGGCGUGCUUAACACAUGCAAGUCGAGCGGAAAGGCCCUUCGGGGUACUCGAGCGGCGAACGGGUGAGUAACACGUGAGUAACCUGCCCUUCACUUUGGGAUAACCCUCGGAAACGGGGGCUAAUACCGGAUAUGACUGCCUUGCGCAUGUGGGGUGGUGGAAAGUUUUUCGGUGGGGAUGGGCUCGCGGCCUAUCAGCUUGUUGGUGGGGUAAUGGCCUACCAAGGCGACGACGGGUAG
rnacentral:rRNA from 1 species